rnacentral:rRNA from 1 species
AGAGUUUGAUCCUGGCUCAGGACGAACGCUGGCGGCGUGCCUAAUACAUGCAAGUAGAACGCUGAAGGAGGAGCUUGCUUCUCUGGAUGAGUUGCGAACGGGUGAGUAACGCGUAGGUAACCUGCCUGGUAGCGGGGGAUAACUAUUGGAAACGAUAGCUAAUACCGCAUAAGAGUAGAUGUUGCAUGACAUUUGCUUAAAAGGUGCACUUGCAUCACUACCAGAUGGACCUGCGUUGUAUUAGCUAGUUGGUGGGGUAACGGCUCACCAAGGCGACGAUACAUAGCCGACCUGAGAGGGUGAUCGGCCACACUGGGACUGAGACACGGCCCAGACUCCUACGGGAGGCAGCAGUAGGGAAUCUUCGGCAAUGGACGGAAGUCUGACCGAGCAACGCCGCGUGAGUGAAGAAGGUUUUCGGAUCGUAAAGCUCUGUUGUAAGAGAAGAACGAGUGUGAGAGUGGAAAGUUCACACUGUGACGGUAUCUUACCAGAAAGGGACGGCUAACUACGUGCCAGCAGCCGCGGUAAUACGUAGGUCCCGAGCGUUGUCCGGAUUUAUUGGGCGUAAAGCGAGCGCAGGCGGUUAGAUAAGUCUGAAGUUAAAGGCUGUGGCUUAACCAUAGUAGGCUUUGGAAACUGUUUAACUUGAGUGCAAGAGGGGAGAGUGGAAUUCCAUGUGUAGCGGUGAAAUGCGUAGAUAUAUGGAGGAACACCGGUGGCGAAAGCGGCUCUCUGGCUUGUAACUGACGCUGAGGCUCGAAAGCGUGGGGAGCAAACAGGAUUAGAUACCCUGGUAGUCCACGCUGUAAACGAUGAGUGCUAGGUGUUAGACCCUUUCCGGGGUUUAGUGCCGUAGCUAACGCAUUAAGCACUCCGCCUGGGGAGUACGACCGCAAGGUUGAAACUCAAAGGAAUUGACGGGGGCCCGCACAAGCGGUGGAGCAUGNCAUAUGAUUCUUUCUAAUGAGUUGUUUUGUCGCUUUUCAUUAUAGGUCAUAUGGGACUUUUUUUCUACACAAAAUAGGCUCCAUAAUAUCUAUAGUGGAUUUACCCACUACAAAUAUUAUAGAACCACAAAAAACUCUCUUAGUGUGAAUAUGUACUAAGAGAGUUUUUUGUAUAUAAAUUAUCUUCUACAACAAAUUAGAAAGGUAUUUAGCCUUUUCUUUUGAUAUGCCAAAAUUAAGAUUACGAUGACGUUGGAAUAAGGUAUAAAAAGUAAUGAAUGAUAGAAAAUUAUUUAGUAGGUAACUAAUCGGACUUUCUCCGACUGCAGUUAGCUCAACUUUUCGUUUAUCCCCUAAAUCUGAUAUAGUAACUAAGACUUGCCAACAUGUAUAUCUACUUAAACCUGGGUGCUUCAUGUAAUCAAAAAAAUUUCCCUGUCCAGAGUAUGAAAUUUCUUCAGAACUUUGCCGUUCAACACUACCGUUCAAUUGUUUUGUAGCAUUAUACAGUAUUUCUUCUAUCUCAAACUUACUUAAUUCACUAUAAAUUUGAUUUGAUUGUAAAUUAAAUUUUGUCAUUGUAGUAUUCUCCUUUUUGAUUAGUAUUUUUCCAGCUCUCUUUCUAAUUCGAGCUCCUUAAUUCUAUCUUGUAAUAUUGUGUUUGAAUGAUGUAAGCUAUAAAUUUGGUCUUGCAUUCUUUUAGAAUUGUAUUCAUUUGAAUAAUAGUGAAUAGCUUGUUGCAAAUUUGAUGCAAUAUCAGCGUUUAAAAAAUAUUGUAUACCUGAAAUAUGAUUAUAUGUUCUAAAUUCAGUUGGAAUGGAGUAGUACUCUUUUCGCAAAGUAGAUAAUAAUUUUUUCUUUUCUUCCCUAUAUUUUUCUUGAGUCGCAUUUAUUAUUUUAUCGUAUUUUAUUUUUUCUUUAACAAUUCUGAUUUUAUCUGCUACAUAUAGUACUGUAGAUAAAAUCCAAAUGAACAUGAUAAUUUCUGAAGUGUAAAAAAAUAGUGAUACAAUGAACAAGAAAAGAACAAUAGCACCGUAUAUUCGUUUUUUUGUAGUUUCAAAUUUUUCUUUAUGAAGAUUAAAUUCAAGUUCAUUAUAAUAUUCAUCAAAUUUAGAAAUUUUAUCUAUUUCUUCUUCUGCAAUUUUAAGAGUUCGAUGUGCUAACUCUUUGGUAGUUGGUCUAGGAACUGUUUUCUUUUCUUCAAGUUGUUGGGUAGGCAAUUCACUAUUAUCAUCAUACAUUGAUUGAAGGUAGGUUAGAAUAGCAAGCCCUCUAGUAUAAAUAAUUUGAUUACUAAUUCUUACAUAUUCCUCAAAAUCAUCAAUUUCAGAUAAUCGAAUUAAAUAUCCUUCAUCAUCAAAAAAUACAGUUAAGAAGUUAUCGGAUAGAAAUGUUUCAAAAUCUUUAAAUUGGUCAAAAUAUUCCUUUUCAUCUAAAAUUGCUCUUUUAAACUCAUCAUCUGGAGUCAAUGUGCCAUCAUAUAAGUCCCAUAUUACUGAUAGAGUAAGGUCAAAAUAAUCAUUAUAAGGAGACUGUGCUCUUUUAGGAUUUAUUCUUCCUUUUGGAAAAAUUCCAAAAUUUCCUAUUUGAUAAUUAUUACAAAUCUGAUAAACGUUUUUUUCUUUAUUGUCAAGCUCAAAUUCGAAAGGAAAAUCAUCAUCAUAUUCAGUGUAUGAUUUUAUAAUAUUAAGAAUCUCGCGUUGCUUAUCUCUGGAUAACUUACUAUAUGAUUUUCCAUAAUAUUUUCGAAAAAUUGCUGUACGAUAUGUUAUAAGAGUGUCGCCACUAUGUACUUUGUCAUCAUACCAUUCGAAAAUGUCUUUAUAUAUU